GAGUAACGCGUGGGUAACCUGCCUCAUACAGGGGGAUAACAGUUAGAAAUGACUGCUAAUACCGCAUAAGACCACAGCACCGCAUGGUGCGGGGGUAAAAACUCCGGUGGUAUGAGAUGGACCCGCGUCUGAUUAGCUAGUUGGUAAGGUAACGGCUUACCAAGGCGACGAUCAGUAGCCGACCUGAGAGGGUGACCGGCCACAUUGGGACUGAGACACGGCCCAAACUCCUACGGGAGGCAGCAGUGGGGAAUAUUGCACAAUGGGGGAAACCCUGAUGCAGCGACGCCGCGUGAGCGAAGAAGUAUUUCGGUAUGUAAAGCUCUAUCAGCAGGGAAGAAAAUGACGGUACCUGACUAAGAAGCACCGGCUAAAUACGUGCCAGCAGCCGCGGUAAUACGUAUGGUGCAAGCGUUAUCCGGAUUUACUGGGUGUAAAGGGAGCGUAGACGGAUGGGCAAGUCUGAUGUGAAAACCCGGGGCUCAACCCCGGGACUGCAUUGGAAACUGUUCAUCUAGAGUGCUGGAGAGGUAAGUGGAAUUCCUAGUGUAGCGGUGAAAUGCGUAGAUAUUAGGAGGAACACCAGUGGCGAAGGCGGCUUACUGGACAGUAACUGACGUUGAGGCUCGAAAGCGUGGGGAGCAAACAGGAUUAGAUACCCUGGUAGUCCACGCCGUAAACGAUGACUACUAGGUGUCGGGUGGCAAAGCCAUUCGGUGCCGCAG
rnacentral:rRNA from 1 species